UACGUAGGAUGCAAGCGUUGUCCGGAUUUACUGGGCGUAAAGCGCGCGCAGGCGGCACUCUAAGUACGUCGUGAAAUAUCCCGGCUCAACCGGGAGGGUGCGAUGUAGACUAGGGAGCUAGGGGUCGGUAGAGGGGGGUGGAAUUGCUGGUGUAGCGGUGAAAUGCGCAGAUAUCGGGAAGAACACCCAUGGCGAAGGCAGCUCUCUGGGACGGUACUGACGCUGAGACGCGAAAGCGUGGGGAGCGAACAGG
rnacentral:rRNA from 1 species